rnacentral:rRNA from 1 species
UACGUAGGUGGCAAGCGUUGUCCGGAAUUAUUGGGCGUAAAGGGCGCGCAGGCGGCGUCGUAAGUCGGUCUUAAAAGUGCGGGGCUUAACCACGUGAGGGGACCGAAACUGCGAUGCUAGAGUAUCGGAGAGGAAAGCGGAAUUCCUAGUGUAGCGGUGAAAUGCGUAGAUAUUAGGAGGAACACCAGUGGCGAAAGCGGCUUUCUGGACGACAACUGACGCUGAGGCGCGAAAGCCAGGGGAGCAAACGGG